GACGAACGCUGGCGGCGUGCCUAAUACAUGCAAGUCGAACGCAGUGGGGACGGGUGAGUAACACGUGGGUAACCUCCCAUCAGAGGGGAUAACACUUGGAAAAAGGUGCUAAACCGAUACUGAUGGAUGGACCCGCGGUGCAUGAGCUAGUUGGUGAGGUAACGGCUCACCAUGGCAACGAUGCAGAGCCGGCCUGAGAGGGUGUGCGUCCAAACUGGGACUGGGACGCGGCCAAGACUCCUACGGGCGGCAGCAGUAGGGAAUCGUCGGCAAUGGACGAAAGUCUGGCCGCGCAACGCCGCGUGAGUGAAGAAGGUUUUCGGAUCUUAGACCUCAGUUGUUAGAGAAGCGGUAUCUAACCAGAAAGCCACGGCUAACUACGUGCCAGCAGCCGCGGUAAUUC
rnacentral:rRNA from 1 species